rnacentral:tRNA from 1 species
GCACCCGUAGCUCAAUUGGUAGAGCUGCUCGCUCUUAACGAGAUGGUUGCAGGUUCGAGUCCUGCCGGGUGCACCA